rnacentral:lncRNA from 1 species
AGCAUGUAGCUCUGUGCAAAGGGCCUGGGAUUCAGUCCGAGGGAGGGAUGGAUGGACAGGACAUAUGCAAGACUUCCUGAGGUCCAUGGAGUUCUGGCCUCAGGGAAUCCAGAAACCUAGGACAUGGCCUUUUCCAGCUUCUAAGGGCCCAGAAAAGAGGCUGCAUUCCCUGGCUCACAGCCCCUUCCUUCACCUGUAAAGCCAGCUUUGUAGAUCUCUGCAUCGCCUCAUCAUCUCCUGUCUCCUUUUAUGGAUCCUGGUGUUCAUGUUGGACCCCCAUGGAUAGCCCUGGAUAAUCACAUGUGAAGGUCAGUUUAUCAGCAUCACAAUUUCAUGUGCAGCCUGCCUUUCUCCUAGCCAUGUGAUGGAACACAUUCACAGGUUCUGAAAAUUAGGACAUUUUUAUGGAUCGUUAAUCUGACUACCUUAAUAGCUUAGCUUUUAUGUCAGUUCAAAUGAAGAUGCUAUCUUUUUUCAGUACAAAAUAAUAAUAAAAGAUGCUAAAAUUAUUUAUUGCAGCCAUGUUUUUGAUGCUUUAUACUUUUUUUUUUUGGUACUUGGGAUUGAACUUGGGUCCUUGCACUUGCACAGCAGGCAGCAAAACCACUGAGCUAAAUCCCCAGCCCGCUUUAUACUUAUUAAUGCUCAUCAAUCUUAUGUAUAUAUUGUAGUCAUGCUAUUUUAUAAAUGAAACUGAGGAAAAGAGGUUUUAAGUAGCUUUCCAAAGCCCCACUGAUCCCAGGAAAUACCUGAUUACAAAGCCCUUGUUGUUGAGUCACUGGGAAGACUGAGUAGAUACAUCUUCAGACAGAUAGUUGUAUCCAGACUUAAAAAAUCAUCACCUGAGUGCCAAGGAUUUAGCUCAGUGGUCCCACCACCUGCCUCGAAAGUGCAAGGUCCCAAGUUCGAUCCCCAUACCAAAAAAAAAAAAUCAUCAACUGAAUAUUCUGUAUGAUGGGUUUUCCCUUUCUCCUUGUUAUUAAAAUGGAUUUAGAAUGGCAUUUGCAUGUGGUAUAAACAGUUUGAAUAGAAAAAUUAGAACAAGAAAAGUUGAUUUUCUGGCCUAUUUUCCCAAAUAUGUCUUAAUAGUUUUGGUUUCUUUUCUUUUCUUCUUUUUUUUAUGUUUUUGGUGGUGG